rnacentral:lncRNA from 1 species
AGCUCAGCGAUCGAGGUGUGGGCCGCGCGGCGCGGAAUGGAAGCGCGGGGAGUGCUCGGCGGAAGCCCGGGGUGCAGCGGGAUCGCCGGCUGAGGCCCGGGGAGGUUUAUUCACCCCGAGUCCAGCCCUCCAUUUUGCUGUCGUCAUCUCACUUUGUUUUUUAAGAUAAGUACUCACUAUGUAGUCUGGGCUAGUUUUGAACUCAUGACCUUCUGUCUCUGCUUCCAGGUGCUGGAAUGACAGAUGAUGGGUGUGCACCACUGCAUGUGACUUCUGUCUACUUUACAAGUAUCAAUCACUUUUAUCUUGAUAUUUCAGGUGAAAUUCUACCUUUAGUAGAAGAGGAAGAUUUUACUUAUUUAUUUAUUUAUUUAUUCAUUUAUUUAUUAUUCCAUGUGUGUGAGUACUCUGUCGUUGUCUUUAGACGCCAGAAGAAGGCAUCGGAUCCCCAUUACAGAUGGUUGUGAGCCACCAUGUGGGUGCUGGGAAUUGAACUCAGAACUUAUGGAAGAGCAGUCAGUGCUCUUAACCGCAGAGCCAUCUCUCUGGCCCAGAAGAGGAAGAGCUAAUUCAUUUCUGGAAUCCUGGGCUACUGAGCCCCUACUUCCUGUCCCAUUUGUUUAUUUAUUAAAUAUAUUCUGAGACAGGUUCUGACCAUGUCACCCUUGCUGGCCUCAAACACCUUAUGUAGAUCAGGUUGGCCUCGAACUCACAGAGAUCUGCUUGCUUCAAUUGCCUGAAUCUUUGGCCAUCAUGCCCAGGGUUUCCCUGUAAUUGACACUUGUCCGUGAGUUCUAUGGCUAGAGUGUUCAUGCUCUACAAUUUGUCCCUGUGACCAAGCUGGAUCCACCCCCCAGGAUUUGGAGGACACCAGGCAAGUGCAGAACCAGAACUCUGGCAUUGGACAGGAGAAGAGACUGCUCUGAAGAUGACUGCUCACCAGCUGGGUGGGCCGGGAACCUCGAGGAUUUAAUUUAAAACAGUACCAGUUAUUGAGUCUCUUGGACUUCCUGCAGAAGCAAAUGGAAACGUUCUAUGGGGAAACCACUUCAAGUUCCAACAGAUACCUUCUAAGGAAGACGAGAAAUGGUUUAAGGUUAAAAAAAAUAUGAGGGAAUAGACCCGAGUUCAAAAACAGCAGAGCAAACGGCAACAGAGACCUCAGCUCUCAGGAGUGGCGUGUGCAUCACGAAAGCUUCGUAUGUUUAAAGAAAUGAAUGAUGAGUGUGCUUAUAUAGAUGAAAAUUAAAAAAAAAAAAAAAGACUAGAAACCACCCAAGCAGAUUUCCAAAAGAGUCAAAUAGACAUCAUAGGUGAAAAAUAUGGUUACCGGUCAAACAGAAAAUCUACUGACAUCCAGAGGAGAAUGGGUUGCAGCUAUAAGUUCCAUUGGAUAGCAUGAAACGUGAGUGUGCGGAAAGACGAUUGGUGGAGAAAUGACAAACUACAUGUAAUAAAAUGCGGGUGUAAAUCU